rnacentral:lncRNA from 13 species
GAGCAGAGCAACCUCAGUGAUGGAAACCACAGAAGAGGGAAAGCUCAACAUUGUGGAACAUCUGACACUUAUGGACUUCCUUCAAAACCUAACUGAGAAGCAAUGGAGGGGGAUUCGUGAGGGCAUGUUUGACCCGGUAAGAUCAUGUUACUGACAAUUGAAUCAGAUUACCAUGAAAACUUUGCCUAAUGUUUAACCUUGUUCAUAAGCUUUUGAAAGACGCACUAUGCAACAUUUUAAAACACUUCUUCUGUUUCUGGAAUACAGCUGACAAAACAACAGCUUGCCGGCUUGUGUCUGAGGAUUGUCCAGUUUUUAUCGGACAAGCUGAUGCAGAUCAUCAUCCCAGGACUCUAACCUCUCUGUCUGAUGUGCAGAAGAAAACAACCAACUCUGAGACGCUACAAGUUCUCUUAGGUGUCUCAGAGGACACCCUUGUCACCUGUGUACAGGACAGCCUGCAAGGUUCUCUCUCCAAACUUGCAUGCAUGUCCAAUUCUCCAUCUGGAAGUGCAGGCUCUAUGAUGCUAACCCCUGCUGUAAUGGCAGAGUUGGCUAAAGAUGUCAAGUCGGCCUUAUCAGUGGUCGUUAAGAGUGCCUCCGCUAGCCAAACCUCUGUAGUGACACCGGUAAGGGGAGACUCACAGACCAAGGUGACUGAGAGCAUGGUGAGAGAGCUGGCUGCUAAACUUGAAAAAGUUGACCAAGAGAGCAAGAGUCUAACAGGGCAAGUCAUGACCAUGAUCUCUGACACAAUGGUGGCUUUUGUUGACGAGAACAAACAAAAUUUGCUGGAAGAUCUGAAGGACAAGAUCACGUUUUUGGCAUCGCAUGUUGGCUUCAUUGAGGAUCUUGAUGCCCUGAUAAGCAAAUACGAGAGCAGCUACAAUAUUAGUGAAUCUGGUUCCUCCUGCACGCUCACAUCUAAGAGCAUCCAAAAACUCUCUAGCCGGGAGUUUCAAACAUCAGCAAUACAAGCAGUGAGUGGAGUUCUUGACAAAAAAGUCAGUAGUUUGAGCUUUCCUAGUUCAGUCAUUCAGUCUGAGUUAACAGGUGCUGUAUCAGGUCAAACAUUGUCUGGCAUUGUAAAGACAGAGUCAAUUCACCCAGUGGGCUCAACAGCGUCAGUAGUUGUUAAGACUUUCGUGUCAGAUAUGAAGUCCUUGGUUGAAUCUGAAGAGAGUCCCCAACAGAAGAGUGCCUGGUCUGCUGCUGUUCACAUUUACCACAGCAUCCAAAACAACUUGAAAGAUUAUUUCGGCAAGCUUCAGCGAUGUGCCUUAAAGAGCAUUGUCACAUCUGAUGAUAACAUCACAAAUGCUGAGUUUAAGGAGACAGUUCCACUUCCUUGCUUAAACAUGAAAUAUAGGCCCAGUAAGAGUGAGCCUCAGUUGCCAGAGUCCACUGGUGCAGUUACUUUACAAAGAGGCCUAAGUGAGAGCUCAAAACUUAUUUGGGCAAAAACUGAGUCAGAAGAAAGCAAGCUCCUUCUGACAACUUGCACCAAAGAAGUCAUCUCAGAGCUUCUGGUCUUGUACAAGACUGCAAUGUCAAAGGAGGACGCCCUGUACACUGUUGGAGAAAAAGGAUCAGGCUUCUCUAUUGAGAGAGAGAAAUUUGUAGAGGGUGUUCUGGCUCAGCUUGGGGAUAUUGCCCAUUCCAGGGCCUCAUCACCAAUAGUAUGUGAGUUCCCCUGUCAAAUUGAGGACAGCAGAAGUAAGACCACAGCUUCUUUGACCAGUCUGUUAGAUUGUAUUAGAAAACUCUCAAGUGAGGAAUUUAAGAGAAAUGCCACUCAAGCAGUGAGUGAGUUCCUAGUUAAAAAGUCCACCAGUAGCUUAACUAGUGCACAGCCUGCUUAUUCUGUAGCAUCCAGGUCUUGUUCCAUUCAAAACCAGUACACAUGGUCAAAGGAUAUUUGUGCGGAUUCUGCUGCCUUUGGCAUCAUUGAAACAUUUGUGGAAGACCUGCAGAGCUCGGCGCAACCUGCAGAAGUAGAGGAGAGAGAACCUGACCUCCAGGAAAAUGCACAAAAGCUACAGAGCAGGAUCUGGUCUGCUACCACUAGUUUAUAUAACAAUAUUCAGAAGACAUUAAAGGACUUCAUCAUUCAUCAGCGGAGGUCAGACAUGCUGAGCAGAAUGUCUAGUCAUAUACCCACAGAGGACUCUGGACAUCUUGGGACUAAGGAGCACAUUUGUUUGGCAAGCCAGGAC